rnacentral:tRNA from 1 species
AAGUAAGAAGUAAUUAAUUACAAUCAGUUUCGACCUGAAAAUUAGAUAUUAAUAAAAUAUCCUUAUUUU